rnacentral:rRNA from 1 species
GAUGAACGCUGGCGGCGUGCCUAAUACAUGCAAGUCGAGCGAAUGGAUUAAGAGCUUGCUCUUAUGAAGUUAGCGGCGGACGGGUGAGUAACACGUGGGUAACCUGCCCAUAAGACUGGGAUAACUCCGGGAAACCGGGGCUAAUACCGGAUAGCAUUUUGAACCGCAUGGUUCGAAAUUGAAAGGCGGCUUCGGCUGUCACUUAUGGAUGGACCCGCGUCGCAUUAGCUAGUUGGUGAGGUAACGGCACACUAAGGCAACGAUGCGUAGCCGACCUGGGAGGGUGAUCGGCCACACUGGGACGGAGACACGGCCCAGACUCAUACGUGAGGCAGCAGUAGGGAAUCUUCCGCAAUGGACGAAAGUCUGACGGAGCAACGCCGCGUGAGUGAUGAAGGCUUUCGGGUCGUAAAACUCUGUUGUUAGGGAAGAACAAGUGCUAGUUGAAUAAGCUGGCACCUUGACGGUACCUAACCAGAAAGCCACGGCUAACUACGUGCCAGCCGCCGCCGAA